CCAGAACCGACCCAUUCUCCAUCAAAACACACACGAACAUAAUGCCAAAAUCCCUAAUCUACACGCGAUUGUUCUUCUUCUUCUCCCAAAAAUACCCGAAUCUCUUCCCAUUUCAGACCAAAUCCAAGCGAGUGAGCACCAAAUCCCUCACCCCACAUGUUCCCCUUUCUCUCCUCUUGCCACAGAUAACCGUUUCUCACCAGAGAUUCCCUCUCAUCUCAUUCGCUCGAUUUUGGGAUUAAAGCACGCGAUUGGAGGUCCGAGAUACGAUUCGUUGGAUGAAUGUAAGGCAUUGGAUUGAUUUCUUUCAAUCCGAGCCCCACAUUUAUCAGGGGCUCGUUUCAUAAAAGGACUGAAUCUUAUUCUCGAUGGCGGAGGAGGUUGAAAAAGAAUUCUGAGAGAAAUUUUGGAUAAAAACGUUAGAUCUCUUCCUAUUCUUCCAUUUUCUACAUACUGUUUUUAUCCAGAAAAUAAAAGCAAAAAAAUGAUUCUGUUUUAAAUUUUCACUUGCAGUGUGAGAUUUUAGUGGAUUAAUUGAUGAUGUGGGAUUUUAGGUUGGUUUGAGUGUCAGAACAAAAUUUUUCUGUUUCUUCAUUUCAAUUUUCGAUUCUGGUUUCCAAGGAUAUAAAAAUUGAAGUUCGAGCUUGGUUCUCUACUAUCGUCUUACUUAUUUGCCGCUGAGCCUCGCUAGGAUUUGGAGUCAAGAGGUGUAUUGUGGAGUCUAUAACUAUUAGCAGGAGUUUGUAACUUCAGGUUUGAAUUUCUUUUCCAUCAUGUAACGCUGCUUUUGUUUUUGAAGAAAUGUUCUUGAGAUGUGCAUUCUGUCUCGAAUGAUUCUAUGAUCAAAUUUCCUAUCGAAUGAACCUAUGCUCGGUGCUAUGAUGUAUUUAAGUAUGUCUAGUUAGUAGAAGUUGAUUUUGAGUGGUCAUUUUUCUACGCUUAUAUGGUUUACCUGUUAUCGUAAUGUCGAGUUUUCCUUUGGGUCCAGAUUUCGUCGAUUUCAAAUUGUUGUUAUAGUUCAGUCAGUUUGUCAGUGUGAAAUUGCUUGCCUGUUAGAAUUUGGAAGAUGAAUCAUAGGUUUUCUUGGUUUUGAACAUGACAGUGUGAAUACAAGACGUUGCAUUUGAGCUGGUAAUGUUUCUGUCGAAAUAGGUUCUCACGAGAAGAAUGCUAGGUGGAAAUCUGGAACGCUUUAAAUUCAUCUACUCCUAAUUUAAGCCUAGAUCCUUGUGAAUUCUGUUAUCGUUGUUCUAAUGUUCGAGAGUUUUCCGAUUGAGUCUGAACGACUGUUUCUGUUGAUUCUUUGUCGAAG
rnacentral:lncRNA from 1 species